UACGUAGGGUGCGAGCGUUAAUCGGAAUUACUGGGCGUAAAGCGUGCGCAGGCGGUUUUGUAAGCCAGAUGUGAAAGCCCCGGGCUUAACCUGGGAAUGGCAUUUGGGACUGCAAGGCUUGAGUGCGGCAGAGGAGACUGGAAUUCCUGGUGUAGCAGUGAAAUGCGUAGAUAUCAGGAGGAACACCAAUAGCGAAGGCAGCUCGCUGGGACGUUACUGACACUGAGGCGCGAAAGCGUGGGGAGCGAACAGG
rnacentral:rRNA from 1 species